rnacentral:rRNA from 1 species
AGUCCCACCUUCGGCGGUUGGGGAUGGACUCGCGGCUUAUCAUCUUGUUGGUGGGGUAGUGGCUUACCAAGGCUUUGACGGGUAGCCGGCCUGAGAGGGUGACCGGCCACAUUGGGACUGAGAUACGGCCCAGACUCCUACGGGAGGCAGCAGUGGGGAAUAUUGCACAAUGGGCGGAAGCCUGAUGCAGCAACGCCGCGUGCGGGAUGACGGCCUUCGGGUUGUAAACCGCUUUCGCCUGUGACGAAGCGUGAGUGACGGUAAUGGGUAAAGAAGCACCGGCUAACUACGUGCCACCAGCCGCGGUGAUACGUAGGGUGCGAGCGUUGUCCGGAUUUAUUGGGCGUAAGGGGCUCGUAGGUGGUUGAUCGCGUCGGAAGUGUAAUCUUGGGGCUUAACCCUGAGCGUGCUUUCGAUACGGGUUGACUUGAGGAAGGUAGGGGAGAAUGGAAUUCCUGGUGGAGCGGUGGAAUGCGCAGAUAUCAGGAGGAACACCAGUGGCGAAGGCGGUUCUCUGGGCCUUUCCUGACGCUGAGGAGCGAAAGCGUGGGGAGCGAACAGGCUUAGAUACCCUGGUAGUCCACGCUGUAAACGGUGGGUACUAGGUGUGGGGUCCAUUCCACGGGUUCCGUGCCGUAGCUAACGCUUUAAGUACCCCGCCUGGGGAGUACGGCCGCAAGGCUAAAACUCAAAGGAAUUGACGGGGCCCCGCACAAGCGGCGGAGCAUGCGGAUUAAUUCGAUGCAACGCGUAGAACCUUACCUGGGUUUGACAUGGAUCGGGAGUGCUCAGAGAUGGGUGUGCCUCUUUUGGGGUCGGUUCACAGGUGGUGCAUGGCUGUCGUCAGCUCGUGUCGUGAGAUGUUGGGUUAAGUCCCGCAACGAGCGCAACCCUUGUUCACUGUUGCCAGCACGUUAUGGUGGGGACUCAGUGGAGACCGCCGGGGUCGACUCGGAGGAAGGUGGGGAUGACGUCAAGUCAUCAUGCCCCUUAUGUCCAGGGCUUCACGCAUGCUACAAUGGCUGGUACAGAGAGUGGCGAGCCUGUGAGGGUGAGCGAAUCUCGGAAAGCCGGUCUCAGUUCGGAUUGGGGUCUGCAACUCGACCUCAUGAAGUCGGAGUCGCUAGUAAUCGCAGAUCAGCAACGCUGCGGUGAAUACGUUCCCGGGGCUUGUACACACCGCCCGUCAAGUCAUGAAAGUUGGUAACACCCGAAGCCGGUGGCCUAACCGUUGUGGGGGAGCCGUCGAAGGUGGGACUGGUGAUUAG